AGUACUUUCAGACCUUAAACAAUAUCAUAAAUUAUCAGUCAUCUAGGCUUUUUGGUAUUAGUUUAAAAAAAUAGAAAAGUAGGCCUUUAACUAGACAAGGAUGAAUAAUAUGGAAAGGAAACUAGACUAACCCUUUGUGUGGGGGAGGGCCAACUGGGAGUGGCAGUUGGGUCUUGGGACUAGCACUUCCUUCCUGCUGGGAGAGGUCUUGCAUCCUGGGGUUGGAGGAGAGAGGAGCUUGUUCAGCCCAGUCUGGAGUGGUGUGCUCUUCUUGGUUCAGCCCGUAGACACAGGCUUCUGAAGAUGAGGAAACUGAUGAAAACAAGGUUAAAUGACUUGCCCAAGAUCAUGCAGCAAGUCAUCCUUCCCCUCCCUGCCCCUGAAGAUGUGUAAUUAAGCUCCAUGAGGACAGAGAGCAUACUUUAACUUAAGAAAUCCAAUGAACACAAUGAUCAACUAUGAUUCUGGAGGAAUAGGAAUGCAGAAUACUGUCCAUCCACUGAUUGAAAGGCAAUGGACUAAAUAUGCAAACACAAAAACCAAGAGAAACAUUUAAAUGGGAAAAACCAACAAACAGGGAACAAGGCACACAUUUUUGGACAUGGCCAACAUAGGAAUUUGUUUUGUCUGUGUUUAUUUGUUAUAAGGGUUUUGCUUUUUCUUUCUUAGAGGGUCAGUGAGGGAGAAAAUAAAUGCUUAUUGAUUCGAAAACUGCAUUUUCAUUCUUUAAAAUGAUGAAAGCUAAUCUCUGUGAAGGACUUUUUAAACCAUAAAGCACCAUAAAAUGCAAAAAAGUACUUUA